rnacentral:ncRNA from 1 species
AUCUUACAUCAAGAGAGGGCUGACGCGCCCCGCCAACCUGCGGCCCGUGCAAGGUGGUUUUCCCUAAAGGGAGAUGUGGCCGAAAGGCAAUAUCGAGCGUC